UGAGUGCAGGACACUUCAGUAGAGCUGUAGAUUCCAGCUUAUGUUGUGAGAUAGGCAACCUAGGAGAGUUGAGAAUUAA
ensembl:snoRNA SNORD39 Small nucleolar RNA SNORD55/SNORD39